rnacentral:sRNA from 1 species
GAACGGAAUUACUACUCCCUCCUCCGAU